CUUCCCAAAGGAAAAGAUUCUGCCUCAAGCAAAGAAAUUCUUUAUUGGCACACCUGAAAUCUAUAACUCACAAAUAGACAUUUAAUGGGAGAUUGUUGUUAAAAGCCUGCAUUCUAUCUUUGCUAUUAUUACUUUCCACAGCCAGCUGAACUGGUGGUGGUCAGAGUAGCAUCUCAUCCAAAACACCCUUUUUGUUUGUAUACUAUUUAUCUCAUUGCUGCUUUUUUGUUUGUUAAUGUGAAAGUUGAAUGACCUCCUGAGGAGAGAGUGAUAUCACCUGAGCUGAGAUAACAUUUAAUGCUUUGAUACGAUUGAGAUAUAACUGACUGUAGUCCUUGAAUCUCUCAGAAAACGGGGAUCUCCAUGGGUGAGCUAUAGCGGUGAGAUUCCGAAAUUUCAAGCGACCAGCUGGUGUGAUGGAGCAAUGGAAGGGAGGAAUGCCUUCUGACGUACGCAGCAAAUUACUUCCGCUGGGUGCCUUUAGAUAAGGUGGUCUUCCACAUUUGGAUGUAGGCAAGAACAGAUUUCCAAUACUUUUUUUUUUGGAGACUUGGUGUAUGUGACUCGGAGCUCAAGAUUUAAG